GGCUCCUUGAAUAUUAAAAAUAAGGAGUCGGACCUGCCCAGUGAAAUUUUUUAACGGCCGCGGUACUCUGACCGUGCAAAGGUAGCAUAAUAAUUUGCCUUAUAAUUGAAGGCUAGUAUGAAUGGUUUGACAAGAAUAUUACUGUCUCUAUAUAGUUUGCUAGAACUUUAUACUAAGGUGAAGAAGCCUUAAUAAAAUUGAUAGACAAGAAGACCCUAUCGAGCUUUAAAUAAUUUAAAAGAAUUUAAUUUAAUAAUGCUAAAAAAUAAACUUUUAAAAAUUUUGGUUGGGGCGACUGAGGAACAGAAAAAGCUUCCUUUAUAUUACUUAUCAUACAAGUUUUGAUCCAAAAAUUUUGAUUAAAGAAAUUAGUUACCGUAGGGAUAACAGCAUUAUCUUUUUUGAGAGCUCUUAUCGAAAAAAAGGUUUGUGACCUCGAUGUUGGACCAGAAUAUCCUAAAGGUGCAGAAGCCUUUAAGGGUUGGUCUGUUCGACCAUUAAAAUUCU
rnacentral:rRNA from 1 species